rnacentral:tmRNA from 1 species
GGGGGUGUACUGGCUUUCGACGGGAGGCAGGAGAUACUGAGCAGCAUGUCGAGGAGCAUCGGUUGGCCUCGUUAAUCAUCCGGUGAAAAUCAUAAUUGCCGAAGAUUAUUCUUACGCAAUGGCUGCCUAAUAAGGCGGCAACUCGAAUGUGGAGCGCACUUCUUUGCAUUUGAGCUAUUAAGGUGCUGGUCGGGAAGGGGGUGCCGAUUUCCCGAUAAGAUUCCGGCACUGGCCUUUUUGUAAGCGGGUCCGUUCGCGCACAAGAGGGUGAGAUUAAAAGGCGGGCUAAACAUGUAGCGGCUCAUAUUGAAUGGCUUUCGGACAGGGGUUCAACUCCCCUCACCUCCACCA